rnacentral:tRNA from 1 species
CAAGAUGUAGCUAAACACAAAGCAUUCAGCUUACACCUGAAAGAUAUCUGCCCCUUACAGAUCAUCUUGA